AGGCCCUGGGGAGGGCUGUUGGCGGCUGCUGCUCCUGCUGCAGGCUUGUGUGACCUGAAUGAAGGAAGGAGAAAAAGGAGAUAUAAAAGCUCAUUAGAUUUCCAUCCCUUAAAAGAGCUGGGGUUUCAAGAAUUGGGGGGCUUUUGUUCUCGGGGGUGUGUGUGUCACAAAGCAAAAUGGAGACCCUCUGCUGCUGAAUUGGCACUUGGGUGCUGUGCUUUUGCCAAGUGAUGGACAUUUGUUGAGGACGUGCCAAUGACCCAUGUAUAUCCUGGACAGAAUGGUCAUGAAUUCCACUGUAUUAAUAAUUUGGUAAAGCCUAACCUUGGGUAAAAGACUUGGAAGAACUUGACAGGAAUGGAAAUCAGUGAAAUGUACAAGAACAGCAAACAGAGAUGGCAAAAGGAAGAGCUCCUAGUCUCACCUCUGAAAUCUCAUUCUUCCAGUACACCAAGAAGAACAAGUUUGGUCAUCUGCGGAUAUUCUCUGAAGUACAUUUAAUGUCUGUUGGUCGGUGGCCCUAGUAGCAUGGAUUAUGGCCAGGUUUCCCCUUCAUUGCAAUGCUGCCCUAAGUGAAUCUGCUCCAGGCCACCCAGAGAACAGAUAUAAAAUGUAACCAUCUACCAACGCUAUCAUAUGCAACAAACAGUCUCAGGAGAAUAAUCAAAAUUAUCAACAGGCAGAACCAGACUGCUCACAUACUGAGUGGAAGGUGUAGCCUUUCUCUGUAGUCUUGUUUGAGUAUGACUAAAAUGAGUAUAUCCAUGUAUUUUAUUGUUAUUGAAUUAAUUUAUUUUAUCGUUAUUGUAUUUAUUUAUUUUAUUGUUAAAUUUAUAUAGUGUUUCAUU